UAGCUCAGUUGGUAAAGAAUCUGCUUGCAAUGCAGGAGACCCUGGUUCAAUUCCUGG
rnacentral:tRNA from 1 species